rnacentral:rRNA from 1 species
GACGAACGCUGGCGGUGUGCUUAACACAUGCAAGUCGAACGGUAAGGCCCUUUCGGGGGUACACGAGUGGCGAACGGGUGAGUAACACGUGAGUAACCUGCCCUCAUCUCUGGGAUAACAGUCGGAAACGGUUGCUAAUACUGGAUAUGAGCUUGCAAGGCAUCUUGUGGGUUGGAAAGAUUUUUUUUGGUUGGGGAUGGACUCGCGGCCUAUCAGCUUGUUGGUGAGGUAGUGGCUCACCAAGGCUUCGACGGGUAGCCGGCCUGAGAGGGCGACCGGCCACAUUGGGACUGAGAUACGGCCCAAACCCCUACGGGAGGCAGCAGUGGGGAAUAUUGCACAAUGGACGGAAGUCUGAUGCAGCAACGCCGCGUGCGGGAUGACGGCCUUCGGGUUGUAAACCGCUUUCAAUUGUGACGAAGCUUUUUUGUGACGGUAGCAGUAGAAGAAGCACCGGCUAACUACGUG